UUGAUUUUUCAUGGUUAUUGGAUAGAUCUUGACAGCUCGUGGACCCAAGAAUCUAGUCCUUGUAUCCAAAAGUUGCCCGGAUGUAACGUCGAUAACAGUUCGUAAAUAGACACCAUUCAUUAAACCUAUAUGUAAAUAGAGAGUACUCACACCAUUUACGUUCAUCGGAAUUAUGCAUAAAGAAUUGGCAGGAGAACUAAGGGCUUGUACACUCAAAUUUUCUAAGGUUGUGUACAAAUCGAGAGACAACACCCU